rnacentral:SRP_RNA from 1 species
GCCGGGCGUGGUGGCGCAUGCCUGUAGUCCCAACUACUCAGGAGGCUGAGACAGGAGAAUUGCUUGAACCCAGGAGGCAGAGGUUGCAGUGAGCCGAGAUCACACCACUGCACUCCAGCCUGGGUGACAGAGUGAAACUCUGUCUCAA